rnacentral:rRNA from 1 species
UACGAAGGGGGCUAGCGUUGUUCGGAUUUACUGGGCGUAAAGCGCACGUAGGCGGAUCGUUAAGUCGGGGGUGAAAUCCCGGAGCUCAACUCCAGAACUGCCUUCGAUACUGGCGAUCUUGAGUCCGGAAGAGGUGAGUGGAACUCCUAGUGUAGAGGUGGAAUUCGUAGAUAUUAGGAAGAACACCAGUGGCGAAGGCGGCUCACUGGUCCGGUACUGACGCUGAGGUGCGAAAGCGUGGGGAGCAAACAGG